GUGGCUGUGGGAAAGAGAUUAGAGUGGACGACAGGAAACCAGUAGGAGGCUAUCGCAGUCAUCCAGCUGAGGAAAGAUGACUUGACACGACUUCAGAAGCCUCCUGAAUCCUAUUCUGGCCCAUCGUGGCAUGGUCAGCAGAUGAGAAACAGAUGGACUGGUGUGUGGUGGGAGGAAGCUGUCCUGGUCGAGCUCUGCUUCAGGCCAGUCCUUUCUGAGAUUGGAGAAGUGAGAAGAGGAGCAGAGAGACCAGCUGGGAGCUGCUGUAGUAACCCAGAUCACUUCUGCAUAAAACCACAUGGAAGAAUAAGAAGGGAAAAACAAUCAAGCAAUAAACUGUUCAUCUGAAAAUAGUUAAAUUCUCCAACAGUUGAUUUUAAAAUAUUUUCCUAAAAUCUAUUAAGAUUUGUUCAAAGUAAUUCUUCUAUGGAGGCACAUCUCUGGACUGAAACAACCAGCCUUUGCCUUUGGUGUGGUCCUGUUUCAGUCAAAAUGGCUAACAGGCUAUGAAGAAAAUCAAAUUCCAAGUUACUCAAAUGUGGAGAAAAUCUGGAGGUCUGGUAUGGGCAUCUUUUCAAAAUGUUUUAAUUACACAUUGAUUUACAAAUGACAUUGUCUAGUAUGGUAGUUUUAAAAAAAUCAUCAUUUUUAAACAUCUGCCAAAUUUUAAAUGGUAGUUUUUCAUGAAAGUACAAAGAAAACUUCAUCCACGAUCACGAAAUUUUCCAACUCAUAUAUCCUGAUCAAAACAAAGACUUUCUAUGGACAAUUGUUGAACCACGCCUGACCUUGGACCCUGUGCUAUCUACUCUUCUCAGUGUCAUUCUCUAUCUAGUUUGGCUUUUCCAAGUUUAAUCACUAAGAUAUUCAGAUAUUAUUACAAAAUAUUAUUACAAGCCCUUUAAUUACCUUGAUAAUAUUACUGGCAAUAUUAAAAACUUUUAGCAG
ensembl:lncRNA LINC01929 long intergenic non-protein coding RNA 1929